rnacentral:rRNA from 1 species
AUUGAACGCUGGCGGCAGGCCUAACACAUGCAAGUCGAACGGUAACAGGAAGAAGCUUGCUUCUUUGCUGACGAGUGGCGGACGGGUGAGUAAUGUCUGGGAAACUGCCUGAUGGAGGGGGAUAACUACUGGAAACGGUAGCUAAUACCGCAUAACGUCGCAAGACCAAAGAGGGGGACCUUCGGGCCUCUUGCCAUCGGAUGUGCCCAGAUGGGAUUAGCUAGUAGGUGGGGUAACGGCUCACCUAGGCGACGAUCCCUAGCUGGUCUGAGAGGAUGACCAGCCACACUGGAACUGAGACACGGUCCAGACUCCUACGGGAGGCAGCAGUGGGGAAUAUUGCACAAUGGGCGCAAGCCUGAUGCAGCCAUGCCGCGUGUAUGAAGAAGGCCUUCGGGUUGUAAAGUACUUUCAGCGGGGAGGAAGGGAGUAAAGUUAAUACCUUUGCUCAUUGACGUUACCCGCAGAAGAAGCGCCGGCUAACUCCGUG